CGUUGCACCGACCCCAAACCCCAAAGAAAAAGAAAAUAGAUUCUAUUCUGCUUCUUGCAACUUUGUCUACGUGCAAAUUCUAACCUAGGUUUAAUUUGAUUGAACCUUUUGCACAAUCCAAACCUCCUCGGACUUUUCCCAUCUCACUCUAUAACGAGAACACAACGCCACAUCUCUUUGUGCGUGUAUGGAAUUUGAUGCCGCAAUUCCCUUGUCCCGAGAGCACCUACCAAAAUCAUGAGGAGGAGGUCAUCGGGGAACCGUAAGCGCUUCGUCUUCUACUCAUCAAGAUAAGGGAGAGUGAGAGACCUCACUUGAGGGUGUGGGCCGGAAUAUAUGUUAGGUAGUCGGAUUGGUCCCCAAUCUUUUGCCUGAUGUAUGCCUAUGGAAAUAGUCGAAUUGGCCCCAAUCUUUUGCCUGAUGUAUGCUUAUGGAAAGAGGUGAUCAUCAGCAUGAGGAUGUUGGUGAUGAGGUUUAAGUCUCAUUAUGGGCUGUUCUUUGAUAGGACAUGUGACAUCAGACUUAGUUAGGAUUAGCAUAGGACUUUCAUUACUGUUAUUGUGUUUUGAAAGGACUAAUAUUUUAUUUUGUCAUCAUUUCUAUAUUGGACUACAAUUUGUGAAAUAUGAAUAUGAACUCUCUAUGUAUG